UACAGAGGUCUCAAGCGUUGUUCGGAUUCAUUGGGCGUAAAGGGUGCGUAGGUGGCGCUGUAAGUCAGGUGUGAAAUUUCGGAGCUUAACUCCGAAACUGCAUUUGAUACUGCGGUGCUCGAGGACUGGAGAGGAGACUGGAAUUUACGGUGUAGCAGUGAAAUGCGUAGAGAUCGUAAGGAAGACCAGUGGCGAAGGCGGGUCUCUGGACAGUUCCUGACACUGAGGCACGAGGCCAGGGGAGCAAACGGG
rnacentral:rRNA from 1 species